rnacentral:ncRNA from 1 species
GAGAGCCGUGUGCAUUGAAAGGUGCAUGCACGGUUCGGAGAGAAGGUAGUUAGAUGUGUGCCGAAAGGUUAUGUACCGACUAUUUACUCUAC